rnacentral:rRNA from 1 species
UACGGGGGGGGCAAGCGUUGUUCGGAAUUACUGGGCGUAAAGGGCUCGUAGGCGGCCAACUAAGUCAGACGUGAAAUCCCUCAGCUUAACUGGGGAACUGCGUCUGAUACUGGAUGGCUUGGAUUCGGGAGAGGAAUGCGGAAUUCCACGUGUAGCGGUGAAAUGCGUAGAGAUGUGGAGGAACACCAGUGGCGAAGGCGACUCUUUGGCCUGUAACUGACACUGAGGCGCGAAAGCGUGGAGAGCAAACAGG